rnacentral:rRNA from 1 species
GACGAACGCUGGCGGCGUGCCUAAUACAUGCAAGUAGAACGCUGAAGAGAGGAGCUUGCUCUUCUUGGAUGAGUUGCGAACGGGUGAGUAACGCGUAGGUAACCUGCCUUGUAGCGGGGGAUAACUACUGGAAACGAUAGCUAAUACCGCAUAACAAUGGAUGACACAUGUCAUUUAUUUGAAAGGGGCAAUUGCUCCACUACAAGAUGGACCUGCGUUGUAUUAGCUAGUAGGUGAGGUAAUGGCUCACCUAGGCGACGAUACAUAGCCGACCUGAGAGGGUGAUCGGCCACACUAGGACUGAGACACGGCCCAGACUCCUACGGGAGGCAGCAGUAGGGAAUCUUCGGCAAUGGGGGCAACCCUGACCGAGCAACGCCGCGUGAGUGAAGAAGGUUUUCGGAUCGUAAAGCUCUGUUGUAAGUCAAGAACGGGUGUGAGAGUGGAAAGUUCACACUGUGACGGUAGCUUACCAGAAAGGGACGGCUAACUACGUG